CAGCAGCCGCGGUAAGACAGAGGUCCCGAGCGUUGUUCGGAUUCAUUGGGCGUAAAGGGUGUGUAGGAGGCCAGGUAAGUCAGGUGUGAAAUCUCAGAGCUUAACUCUGAAACUGCGCUUGAUACUGCUUGGCUAGAGGAUCGGAGGGGGUAACGGAAUUUAUGGUGUAGCAGUGAAAUGCGUAGAUAUCAUAAGGAACACCGGUGGCGAAGGCGGUUACCUGGAAGAUUCCUGACUCUGAAACACGAAAGCCAGGGGAGCAAACGGGAUUAGAUACCCGGGUAGUCCCUGUCUCUUAUAC
rnacentral:rRNA from 1 species